UGCAAGUCGAGCGGACCUUUUAAAGCUUGCUUUUGAAAGGUCAGCGGCGGACGGGUGAGUAACACGUGGGCAACCUGCCUGUAAGACUGGGAUAACUUCGGGAAACCGGAGCUAAUACCGGAUAAUAUAAGGAACCUCCUGGUUCUUUAUUGAAAGAUGGUUUCGGCUAUCACUUACAGAUGGGCCCGCGGCGCAUUAGCUAGUUGGUGAGGUAACGGCUCACCAAGGCGACGAUGCGUAGCCGACCUGAGAGGGUGAUCGGCCACACUGGGACUGAGACACGGCCCAGACUCCUACGGGAGGCAGCAGUAGGGAAUCUUCCACAAUGGACGAAAGUCUGAUGGAGCAACGCCGCGUGAGCGAUGAAGGCCUUCGGGUCGUAAAGCUCUGUUGUUAGGGAAGAACAAGUGCGAGAGUAACUGCUCGCACCUUGACGGUACCUAACCAGAAAGCCACGGCUAACUACGUGCCAGCAGCCGCGGUAAUACGUAGGUGGCAAGCGUUGUCCGGAAUUAUUGGGCGUAAAGCGCGCGCAGGUGGUCCUUUAAGUCUGAUGUGAAAGCCCACGGCUCAACCGUGGAGGGUCAUUGGAAACUGGGGGACUUGAGUGCAGAAGAGGAAAGUGGAAUUCCAAGUGUAGCGGUGAAAUGCGUAGAGAUUUGGAGGAACACCAGUGGCGAAGGCGACUUUCUGGUCUGUAACUGACACUGAGGCGCGAAAGCGUGGGAGCAAACAGGAUUAGAUACCCUGGUAGU
rnacentral:rRNA from 1 species